ensembl:lncRNA
UUCUCUCCUGCCUGCAAAUAUGGCAUCAGGAAACAUAAACACCUACAAGAUAAAAGCAAAACCUAAUCCUAGAAAAACAAGCCUGACUAUUUACUCACCCAGAUCUAACUCUGGACUAGACCCAUGCAACUCACACCAGAGCCUACCAGCAGCUACUGCUGGUCAUGCUGCUAUGAGAACUGCCUUCACAGAGAGCCUAAAAAUCAGGCAGGAAAUCAGAUACAAAGAAGAACAUGGGGUAACAAGACAGUGACACUUUCCUGUAAGAAGACCAUAAAUCUUUAUACAAGGGGGCGGACUGGAGAACGUCAGGGGUUUCCAUGUGUGAGUGUUUAAAAUAAAACCUUAUUCAUGCUGGAGUGGGGAAGAAAAGAACUGGCAAGCUGGGAACACAAAAAGAAAAAAGGAGGAACCUUAAAAUAUGAGGUUUGACUGGGUCUUGAGCUCUGAAGCAAUCAGUGUUUUUUUCUGUUCUUUUUGUUCCCUCAUCAACUGGACCAGAACACUAUAUCUCUAGGAAGAGUCUGCUCAGUUGCUUGAAGCAUGUACAUCCGUGUAGCCAAGGGAGAAACUGACCAAUAGCCUCAAUGGUGAUUAGAAGACAAUUGGUCCCUCGAACUUGUCUUCCAAAGUGAGAGCACCUGGCAGCUUCUGGCAGCUUUCUGUUCCUUCUCUGAAACAAUACAUGCCAUGAUGGUGGGAAAACGGGAUUCCAGCACAGCACUUCUCAGAAAUAACAACAUGAUUGUGACUUCUUUAGUUCAAAGGUCUGAAGCAAUAUGGAAAAGAUGACCUACAUAAUGACCAAACCAAAACUUUGUCACUCUACAGUGGUUCCUCAAAUCCUGCUUUGACAUCAAGCAGCUUCAAUGCAGGUACCAAGAAGGGAGCAGAGAGGAAAGGAUAAUUGGGUCCGUGCUCCCAUUUGAAAGGGAGCUUAUGUUUUCCUGCAACUUUGAUGGAGAUUAAAUAUGUCUUGGCUACUUGGCUCUGACCACAUGAAAUACAGCAUCUAGAGAGACUUUGUGAGCAAGGGCUUGACAGGCAGACAUUUAAGAUCGUUGGUCAUCUUUGCAUCUUUUAAAGUAGAAGCGAUAUCUCAGUAAGGGAUGAUUUUACACUAUUAAAAAAAAUAAUAAAAAAAAAGGAAAGAAAAGAAAAGGAAAGGAAAGAAAAGAAAAGAAAAGAAAAGAAAAGAAAAGAAAAGAAAAGAAAAGAAAAGAAAAGAAAAGAAAAGAAAAGAAAAGAAAAGAAAAGAAAAGAAAAGAAAAGAAAAGAAAAGAAAAGAAAAGAAAAGAAAAGAAAAGAAAAGAAAAGAAAAGAAAAGAAAAGAAAAGAAAAGAAAAGAAAAGAAAAGAAAAGAAAAGAAAAGAAAAGAAAAAAAAGAAGAGUUAUAACAGAAGUAAAAGAUACAGCCCCAAGCCCUGAAUCAUCAGGAAAACCAAACAAACUAGACUUUCACUGUUUGUGGUCACUGCUGAACACUUACAGUACAGUGUAGGAAAUGGACCACUCUCUAAUAUAAUGUGUUGCCCCAAGACACAGAAUGCUGCUAAAUAUCCUGGACAUUCUUUCUCACUCUGAGCUCUCUACGGUCUCUAUUAAGGCAAGCUCAUUCUGUGGAGAAUGAGAUAUUUUUCCAUGAACCACCUCUCUUCUCUAAAGGAUCUUCUCAGGGCAACUGCUAAAUUGUCCUGCGAGGCUGAAUAUGCUCUGAUGUCAGAGCAUACCAGCUGAAGUGUUCAGCAACGUAAAAUAAGCUGGAGAUGCUAUACAAGAAGAGUAUGUUGGUACUAAUUUUUUCCAAGUAAACCCAUUCAGGAUAAAAAUAACUUCCUUUUCUCUCUCUCUCUCUUUUUUUUUUUUUUUAAUAAUGUCAUAUUGCAUCAGCAGACUUACACAACACGUUAAAAAUCCCAGAGAAACAAUAUAUCAUACAUGAAGAGCUUCCUACCUAUUAGAUUCAUGCAGCAAAUGAAAUUCUAUGCAACUUCUUCCAGGAAAAUAGCUUGCGUACUCUGAAGCUAUAUCUAGGAUUUUUACAAACUGUUCUGCAUGAUUCACUCAGUGCUCGGUAGAUUAGAUGUUAUUGAAUUCACAUGAGUUCAUGUUAAAUAAAGUGAAACACAACAUCUGGGGCUACUCAUCACUCAAAGAUAUGACAUCCAUUGCCAAACACAAGAGUGAUUCAGUAAUGUUGUAAUUACCAAACUGGGUCAGUGGUGAAAUAGAAAGUGGGGAUUGUUAUAACACCAAGUCCUUAGAUUAUCUGUGAUCAGAAGAAACAAACAAUCAGAGUUUGUGAUAUAUGGCAAGCACCAAUGAUCCCGGACUGUGCACAAGACUGGCAUUUCAUCCUGUAAAAUUUAAUUGUACAGAAAAAUGUAAGAUGGAACAGCCUUGUCCUACCUGUUACAGUGGGCUGAAUGGCCUAUGCUGAAAGUGCCACUGAAAUUCAACACACAUUGGGGAGACAAAGGAAACUGUGAGCACUAUAUCUGCUUCUUAUUUCUGACUCUAGUUUAAACUUCCAGUGAGUUCUUCCCAAAUGGCUGUUCAGAACUCUGUGUCUGUUCUGUGUUUUGCCAGGGCCAGGCAAAGGAACAGAAGCAAAGGAAAUGAACUAAAAAAAAACAAACAAGUAAAAAGCAAUCAUAUGUCAACUAAGACCCAGAAUAUGAGAUCAGUGUUUACUAAGCACAACUAGAACAAAGUAGAUAUCACACUAAGGGACAUGAUUUAGUGGACAUGGUGGCAAUAGGUUGAUGGUUGGACUGGAUGAUCUUAGUGGUCUUUCCAACCUCAAUGAUUCUGGCAUUCUAUGGAAAGUUGGGAGACUGCAGAUCCAGAUAAUUCAAGGCUGUGUUAUUCAUGGUAUGAUAGCCUGCACGUCAAAGGUCAAUCUCAAGCCUAUGCACCAUGCAAGCUAGAAAUGCUGAUGUGCAUGAAGAGGAGACAGGGCUAUGUGACUAACGUGGUUUGGCUUAUUUAGACUUUCCUAGCCUGCAGGACCAGAAGCAGUUGGGGAGAAGAGAGUGGCCUUUGGCACGCAUCUACUACCAGGCUCAAACUCAGAGUUUCCAUUCCAUAGGAAAACACCUCCACUGCUCAGUGCCCCACCCCCGGCAUGUGCAUACUCAUUCUUUGUUUUGAUAAGCAAAUCAGUGAGUGCUUUAAUGUACUAUACCUGGGGGAAUUUAACUCAGAAUUCUGUGCUCAGGUUCCAAGAGGAUGUAGUUAUUUUUUACACCAGUAAUUUGUGUUUUGUUCCUUUUCCAAAUAGGACAAAAAAAGUUAGAGGGUGGUUUUUUCCCUGGUUUCACUCCUAAAUCGCCAUUUAUACCCUGACAUCAGCUGACAUCAGUGGAAAUGUCAAAAAAUCUUCCUUUUGCAAGAUUUCAGAAACAAUGCAGAUAUAGAGAAAAUAAAAAUAAGGAGGGAGGAGGGCGGAUGCCCCGGCGGUCUCUCGGCGGGGACAUGCUGCCAUCCAGCGGCUGCGGCCACGCGGCCCCGAGGAUGUGGAUGUCCCGGAGCACCGCGCCCCGCGCUGCCCCCUGGGGGCAGAGGAUGCUUCGAGGAGUGGUGUUGGGGUCCGACGCCCCCCUGCCCCACUGCUCUUGUAGCCCUUCAGCAAAAAUGUUCAUGGAAGAGAGAGUCACUUACAGCCAUUCAUGCAAUUAUGGUGGCUUGGAGGAAACAGAUGAUUUGACAUGGAGUAGAUUUGCAGCCAGGACCCCAUUGCAAGCAGGACCUGAGUUCUUUGGAAGAGUCAUGAGCUGGGGGUGAUUGCCCUGUGAAGAGAGUAAAGAGUUCCCCAGCAAUCUGCAUUCAACCUUUGAAGUACUUUGGAAGCUGUGUAUAGAAGAUACCAGGGCAAUUUUGUGAACUGGAAAUGUAAAUUAGCAGAGCCGAACCUUCCUUAUUAAUGCUUCAAAAGACAUCAAAUCCCCUAACAAAGGACAGUCAGUACAGAGCAGGGCUCUCUCAUUGAUCGACUUGUCAUUUUUCUAUCUCAGCAUCACACAGGAGUGGGGAAUACAGGUGCUUUCGGGAGAAAUCCCCCAGCUCACAAAUCUGCCUUCUGUCCAGAAAGUAGGUCUCACUGGUGCAUAAUAAACGUGACAGCCUGGUAAAUAUUGAGGUGAGAGAGCACAGAUCCAUUCUGGUUCAGCACACUUGUGCAGCUACCAAAGACGGCACCAGGUUUCUAUGUGAGAUUACAACCCCAUAAUUCCAACAGAAUCACAUCAAACCCUCUCAAGGGGACAAAAAGUUUGCACAACUACAAGUUCAGUUGGACCAAGCUCAAUGGAGGGACUGGGUGACAUGAUCCCCCAAAGCUGGCUGGCAGUUCCCUGGCUCUGAAGCAAAUGAGAUGAUGCUGCAGACUGCUUUCCUAGCUACUUAAAGAUAAAAAGUACUUUAGAAUAGAGAAUAAUCCUCCAAAUCCUUAACUGAGUUACGAUUCUAGAGAAAGGAACAGAUCGUAUUUAUGAGAUGAAGAAUUACCUUGUCGUGUUCACAUCUUUUAAACCUCUGGUAUGAAAUAUUCACUCUUCUGAAGCCAAUCAAUGUUUCAGUGCCAAAGGAAGUGGGUGCAGGCUUUCAGGCACAGAAUAUCAAUGGCAAGUUAUGUGGUUGUACAAGUGAGAGCCAAAGAUCCUUUACUUUCUCUUGAGUUCAAAAGAGAAUAUGCAUCUAAUAUUGGAUGUUAGUAAAAGUGAGCAUCUUGUACAAGGUGAAUUUCACCUUAGCUGAAGAAGGGAAGAAGCAGGAUUAUAACUUUCAAAAUCUUCAGGAAGUGAAACGUGUUCAGUAUAUGCUGCUCUAAGGUUGUUAUUACUAUUUCCUACAUUCAGGAAACCAUCAAGUUUACAAUAGGAGCAAAUUCUCGGAUUGUCAGUUUAAAUUUUAAGUUUGAGGUUGCUAUUCAAUUUCAGGGUACUAUCUCAAGCCAGAGAUCUAAGCAUCAGAGAGCAAAAUCAAAUGGAGUCAGAGUAGAUUUAGCAGAACACUACAUUAUGGACUAAGGAGUCAAACAUAUGCAAACCUUCCGUCCUUACUAAGAAACUGCCUCACACCAUCCACCUGGGGGAUUGUCUUCAAGACCUAUCCUCUCCCCUACCAAGGUGGGAGAAGCUGUGCCAAUGGUGCAAGAAGGACCAAACACUGGACCACAGGCUGGAUGUAUUCCUUUUGUCUUGAACAUGGUACCAAGCAGACAUGCUGCCAGCUAGCAGUGUUGGAAGUCUUUGUUAGAGAAAGAGAGGGCACUCUCUGUAUUGUACAUGUUUAGGAACAGUGGUGUUACACAUUAACUAUCAGAAUGAAAUUUGCUUACACUAUUGUGAAAAAGGGUCUGCCUACAGUGGUCUCCAAUUUUAGAUUUGAUUUUCAGUCCACAUUCCUGACUUCAGUCCUCAUCAGUCAGUUUUGCCCCAGACUCUUGCAUUAUGAAGACUAAUUUACAUAUCCAAAUAAACAGCUCUCAAAGGAGAAAUUCAGGCUGACAUAAUGUAACUCAUCCUCAUCCUUUUAGAGCUAUUUUUGCAUAAAAAAAAGAUUAGCAAACAAAACCAAGGAGGUAAAGAAAGAAAUGUCAUGGAACCUCUGGGAUUUUUGAGAGACUACUCAACUAUCCUGUACAAUCAUGAAGAUGGGGUUGUGGGGAGGGAGAUUUCCCAGUUGACACGUUUCUCCACUUGUGAACAUGUUGAAAGAUCACUCAUAUGUUUUCAAUGAAGUCACUGACAGUCAAGAAUGCUGGAGGCAACAGCUGUUGGGGAUUGAUUUACCCCAAGGCUAUUUAAUCUCUCAGCCUCUCAUAAGGAUGCUUGCUAGGGGGAAGGUAAAGAAGCACAACUAAAAAUUGUAUUGCUUUCAGCAGCUGUUGUUAUUCCUGAAAGCCAAGAAAGGGUCAAAAAUAUGUGAUGAAAGUCUUGGAUUGUUAUCAGCUAUAGGGGUGGCCAAAGCUUACUGCUUCCUUUGGGAGUAAAGUUUCCUUUGUGGAAUGAAAUACAGUAAAAUUACUAACUCCCUUAGGCUUAGUUGCCUGGGAGUUACCAUGAAGUGUAUAUGUGCCUUGGAAUUUCCAGAAUUAUAAGUAUAUUAUGUCAGUAGGAAUGAUACAGGUUGUGAAAGGCAGCCGUUGUGUUCAGUAACAGGAGCUGAGACAAUCGGGUAGCAAGAAAAGAUAACAUAAAACAUUCAUUAAAAUGGUGGAAAAAAAAUGACUGAAAAGCAGAGUGCAGCUGCUGUUAUGUGUCAGUUACUAUUUCAGAAUGGUCUCCUUCUGUGAAACACUGGACUUUUAUGAAAUCAUAUUGUCCAACCAUGCAUCAGACCCCUGAAGUGUAAGGUAUUUGCCUACCUCGCUGAAAAUAAGAUACAUCCAUCUCCCAGCAGAGAUUCUUUUUGUAACCAUGCAUUUUUCACUCUUGGCUAGCAGAACUUUUCAGAGAGAAUUAGCAUGGAUUGCAUUUUCACUUGGGAAGGAAGCAAAAGUUGCAGUUCUGUUUCACCUAGGAUUUCAUGGCUGUGAAUAUGGGUGAUGCCUCGUGGCUUUAAGAGUGUGUAAUCAGCCACAGAACUUUUGUCUUUUCCCUAAAGCAAUCCAAGAUGUUUGUGACCGUGCCCCAUCCUGAACAUUAGCAGUGUACAGCCUUACAUCUUCUCAUCCCUCCCAAAUCCAUGGAGUGGCUCACUCAGGAUGUGUCUACACCAGGGUUUUCCUUGGCUCAAUAAUACACUUCUGAAGCAAAUCUCUCAUUAUCCCCACUUACCGUGUUUUGUAUCCCAUCAUGGAUCUGUUUUGGAAAGCCAGAUUUGUUCCAGAUCAAAAUGAAAGUGGAAAGUGCUCUCCAGGACCAUACCUCAUGUAUUGCAUCACAAAGGGCUCCAUGAAAAACUCCAGGCAAUGAGAGAAUGGGCCUGAAAGUCACAGCUAUCCUGGAAAUGGCUAUGUUCAGAGGAGGAUGAGUAUUCUUCAGGGCAGUGCUGUCUCCUUACACUAGCUGAGUUCUCAAGAGCAACACACAAGUCUUCAAUGACCAAAAAAAAUAAAAAAUAAAAAAAUUGAACACAGCAAACUUUGCUGAAUGUGGACCUAAAAACUCUUUAAAUAUUCUUUAGAUGCUGAAAAAAAAAAUGGCAAAGCUAAAGAAAAGAUAAUGCUGAAAAAUAAGUAGCGUGUUUGUUCAUAAAAAGUAUCUUUACACAAUUAACGGAAUCACAGUAUCAAAGAAUUGUAAAGGCUGGAAAAGGGACCUCUGGUGACGAUCAAGUCCAGCCCUCAUCACAGCACCUUGGGAUUAUUGCUUAGUCCUGAGGAUGCCCAGAACUUGGUGCAUAGCUAAAGUUCAUCCAACAAAUUAAAAACCUUUGGCUCUGAGAAAAAUGGAAAAGAGAAAUUUUGGGCAAGUGCUUUGGGACUACAAGGAAAGAAUAAUCAAAUUACUGAAAAUCCCUGUCCCACAAGUACUUACAAAAACAGAAUAGUAAUUUUUCUUGUGACUUUUCAGCACUUCUCCCUCUGGGAUAAAGUGAACAUGGGAAAGAGGAAAAAUGUAGAAAUUAAGACAAAUUAAUUAUGAACUGUGUCUGACAGAAUUCAAUAACUGUUUUUCUGCUGACUAUACCAAAGUUUGGAUUGGGCAGUUUUGGUCUUCAGAACAUUCGACAUCUACACAGUAGUCUGACUAGACAGAUUCCCAAUUCCUGUUUUUAUACACCUGCCAAGCUGACAGGCAUUCUAUGAUGGAAUAUGCAAGUCUUGUAACACAAUGCACUUACCCAACAAAAAGUGUCAUGAAAAGAUUAUUUGAUUUUCUAACAGCAGUCUUAAACCACAAAAUAAACCAAACAAAAACAAAGCUCAAAGCUUAUGAAUUAUUCCUUAAAAAUCAAAACAUAUUAAAAAAACACAACCACCUUCCUCCCACCAAGAGACAAGGUAACGGUGGAAAAGCAGAAUAAUGAAAGCAUUUGAUACUUACACGUCUUUCACCCUAUGGCACUCUAACACUGUAUGCUUGUACUCACCAAGCUGAAGUGUAACCACACCUGGGCCAUGGAUACUCCUUCUCCUCGGAGGAACACCUGUACAAUUAUCUGUGUUCUUCUUGGUAGUAGCAUCAGGUACAAAAGGAGCCUUGCAAGGACCUGACUGAAGUUCCCACUAAUCUCACCAGCUGUACACCCCAGCUUUUUCAUAGGGACAAUCCCCAAUCACUGAAGGUAAAGGGAUUUGUUCAACUCAAGCUUCAAUGCUUAUAGAAGCAUUCAACAAAAAUCCAUCCAUGCAGGUCUUUAAGAUCUUCUUUCUCCUGUAAAUUUGAUUCUCUUUCAACAUUUUGACUUCCAGGCAUCUUGAGAGGCCCUAGUGCAGGCUCCCUUCCCAUCUUGUAAAAAAAGGGGAAGAGAUUAUGCUAUUUUCAGCCACCAGAUAAAUAAACUUCUACAGUUUACUUGAAGUGUAUUAUUUUUUUAAACCCAAAAUUUUCAUUUUUGUUUAUUUAGGAAAGUGUUCUUAGUUCUCCUGCAGAUCUCCUAGGCUAUGACACUGUGUAUUCAAAGACAAACCUUGCUACAGGAAACCUUUUAAAUCAACAGAUAAUGAAGUGCCAGUGCAGGCACUGAAGCUAUGGAGAUGCUGUCAUAGAAUCAGUCGUAGAAUCAUUUGACUUGGAAGAGACCCUUAAAGGCCAUCUAGUCCAACUCCCCUGCAAUGAACAGGGACACCUACUGCUAGAGGAGGUGCUCAGAGCCCCAUCCAGCCUGACCUUGAAUGUCUCCAGGGAUGGGACAUCUACCACAUCUCUGGGCAACCUGUUCCAGUGCUUCAUCAUCCUUACUGUAAAAUACUUCUUCCUUAUAUCCAAAUCCAAAUCUCCCCUCUUUUAGUCUGAAACCAUUUCCCCUUGUCCUAUCACAACAGACCUUCUUAUAGAGUUUGUCCCCUUCUUUCUUAUAACCUCUCCUGAGGUCACAAAACCUCUGAACCUUUCUUCAUAAAAAGUGGUUCAUAAAAGCACUGAAACCUUUCUUCAUCUCACCUAGCCAAGCUCCAAGACACUUCUCCUUUUUUUUUUUUUAAAUGUUAGAGUUUCGUUUUGAGUAAAUCAGAUUCUGUUACUGUCUUACUACACAGAUGCAUGGACACCAAUACAGGCAGUAGAGAGGAAGUCAGUGGAAGCAUUUUUAAAAAAGAAAAUAUAUAUUAAAAAAAAAACAAAAAAACGUUGACUUACAUUGAUUUAAAGUGAUUUAAAGAUUUAAAGGCUCAGUGUAAAGCUCACAUAGAAUAGCAAAGUCCCAAUGACAGCAAGUAGCAGUGUGUAGGCUUAGCAAAUGACCCAUCAUAUCGUGAAAUAUUUCAGUUUGUUUUCUCUGAGUUCAUAGAGCUUUGUCAAGAUAUAGCUACAGCAGAUGCCAUUAUAAAUAUCUGAGUUCAAGAUGUUACAAAGCAGAUAAAGAACAUACUUCUCAGACCUUUUUCUUUUCAUAGACAUAUAUUUUUUUAAAACCAUCGUUCUUCAGUAGGACUGUCAUAAUUAGUUCUAAAGCUUGUGGAAAAAUAUAACUCAAUUUCACACAAAGAGUCAGGAUCAAGGCGUAAUCUGUGAGAUCUCUGGUCAUUUUAAAGCUUUCUCAUAAUACAGCCUCUUUCACACUGUUGAUGGAAGUCUUGGGACAAGAAGACAGUUGCUUCUGUCUUGUUCUUGGGUGUGAAAAUCAGUAGGAGAAUGUGAAAGGCUUAGAACAUACCAUCCCAGAGAACUGAGUCUCAGCUUGCAAAGGAGACUCCAGUUAGGCAAUGACAAAUUCCUUCCUCUCAUUAGAGACACGUUCCUCAGCAUCAGGGGCCUUCCCUGGAAUGUGGCUUUCAGCUCCAAGGUCAUUCUAAUGAUGGAAAAAGAACCCAAGAGAUCAUGACGGUCUAAAGCAAAAGCUUGUGAAGCAGCUUUCGCAGACUCUCCAAGCCACGUGUGAAGGAAUGAGCAGCAGCGUGCCUAGGGACACUGAGAAGCUGCAAGCUGUGUUCCUGCAGAGCAUGGAGAGGUCAUCUCCCGGGGCAAGGCAUGGAGAGGGUGAUAAGAAACCACCCACAUCACCUGCUGCUUCAAAAUCAGUGUCUGUGCAGAAGGAUGUUCUUCACAAAGAAAUAACAAAUUUUUGUGUCCCUUUCCAUAAAUGGUAAGGAUGCAUUAGGUGAUGGCAGAAAGCGAGGAAGUAGAUGUAGUUCCCAAACUCUGGGGCAUAAACACAACAAAGUAUAAAAGAAGGAGGAAAGAUACAGAGAGGGUAAAAAUAAACAUUUUGAUUCAUCUCAUCUUGUGAAUCACAAAUGACAGGCACAUGGAAACUCAAAGAACCACACUAGACCAGACAAUGCAUAAUUCAGAGCCACCAGGUACAUCAGAAACAAAAAACAGAGGUACAGAUAUGAGACAGGAUUAGUCUUGAAGUAGGACAUUGUUUCUAUAGAAGGAAGAUAAAAAUAAUGAAGGGUUCAUAGGAAGAUUUGCUGAAGAUACUGUUGGAAACUUAACUAAGAGGGCUGCUCCUAAAGUAAUACCUCCUAUUUUAUUAUGUUGGCCCAUGAUGUCAGAAGUGGAUGUUGGUGGUAUGGAAGUAGAUGUUGAACCUUCCCACCAAUACUCUGUUACAUGUUUUUGCCAUGUGACAGAUGGCAGCACUCUGUGUUGGGGGCACUCUGACAGAAUGGUAUCUGACAUAGAAGUACAUAUGAAGCAAAGACAUGGAAUUGAAUUCCUCCAUGCAGAAAAACAGCACCCACUGACAUUCAUCAGUGCUUGCUGAAUGUUUAUGGAGACCAAGCAGUGGACAUGAGAACAGGGACGUGGUGGGUGGAGCAUUUCAGCAGUGGCAACAGUGAUGAGAAUGGCAAGCCACAUACCAGACUGCCAUUCACAUUUUUACCAGUGCGGCACACAGGCUCUUGUUCAUCACUGGUGAAAAUGCACAACUAAUGGUGGUGACUAUGUUGAAAAAUAGUAAUUUGUUGCUGACAAUUUGCUCUGUCAAAUAGUAUUAAUGUGCUCUUUGCAUCUGUUGUAUUUUCCAAGGAAAUAAAUAGGAAGCAUUAUUUUGGAACAGCCUACAUAGUUCUGACCUCUAUGCCAUGGAAGACAGUUCAGCUGUAUUUAGGAGAAAUAUAUUUUCUGAUUUGCACAUAAAGGCCUAAUCAAUUACAUAUUACUUGCAUAUAGCACUAACAUGUUUUGCUUUCCACUGUCACUGGCUGAACAGCAAAUCAGACAGCCUGAACUUCUGAUGGCAAAAUUCUGAAAUGUUCCUCUCAUCUUUUGGGAUAUUUUGGUCGUUAGGGGGAAAUAAGUUCCUAUAUUAGUAGAUCUCAAAGAAUCACAGAAUAAUUUGAGUUGGAAGGGACCCCAAAAGGUCACCUAGUCCAACUGCCCUGCAUUGAACAGGGUCACCUACAGCUAGAUCACAUUGCUUAGAUCCCCAUCCAGCCUGACCUUGAGGUUCUUCAGGGACAAAGCAUCCACCACCACCAAUGGGGCAACCCAUUCCAGUGAGUGAAGCAUUUUGUUGUUGAAAAUAAAAACACACAUUAUGUUACAUUAAAUGUGUGUAUAAGUAGAAAGUAUAAACUUAAACAAGUAUACAUUCAUUUAUAUAGAGUUACCUCAUUGGAGUCAGCACUCGUCUCAAACUGAC